rnacentral:rRNA from 1 species
UAGUGGCGAACGGGUGAGUAACACGUGGGCAAUCUGCCCUGCACUCUGGGACAAGCCCUGGAAACGGGGUCUAAUACCGGAUACGAGCCUCCCGGGCAUCUGGGAGGUUGGAAAGCUCCGGCGGUGCAGGAUGAGCCCGCGGCCUAUCAGCUUGUUGGUGAGGUAACGGCUCACCAAGGCGACGACGGGUAGCCGGCCUGAGAGGGCGACCGGCCACACUGGGACUGAGACACGGCCCAGACUCCUACGGGAGGCAGCAGUGGGGAAUAUUGCACAAUGGGCGCAAGCCUGAUGCAGCGACGCCGCGUGAGGGAUGACGGCCUUCGGGUUGUAAACCUCUUUCAGCAGGGAAGAAGCGAGAGUGACGGUACCUGCAGAAGAAGCGCCGGCUAACUACGUGCCAGCAGCCGCGGUAAUACGUAGGGCGCAAGCGUUGUCCGGAAUUAUUGGGCGUAAAGAGCUCGUAGGCGGCUUGUNCGCGUCGAUUGUGAAAGCCCGGGGCUUAACUCCGGGUCUGCAGUCGAUACGGGCAGGCUAGAGUGUGGUAGGGGAGAUCGGAAUUCCU